AACAACUCACCUGCCGAAUGAAUUAGCCCUGAAAAUGGAUGGCGCUCAAGCGGUCAGCCGACACCAGACCGUCUGGCCAAAGUGAAACAUCUGUCCAGAUGAGUAGGAGGGCGUGCCGGUCGUAUCGAAGCAUGCUUGCGAAAGCGUGUGGAACGGCCGGUAGUGCAGAUCUUGGUGUUAGUAGCAAAUAUUCAAGUGAGAUCCUUGAAGGGCGACGCGGGGAAGGGUUCCACGCGAACAUUGAUUGAGCGUGGGUGAGUCGUUCCUAAACCGAGUGGCAAUAGCUAAUUACCGGUGAAAGGGAAGCAGGUUGAUAUUCCUGCACACGGAUUUUUUGGAUUUGCGGUGACGCUCCAAUUGAGGCAAUUACGUUUGCGCUGGAUCUGGGCAGAGUUUUCUUUUCUGUUUAACAAAAACCUUGUGUACGCUGUGGAAUCCGAUUGUCGGGAGAAACAGGUGCAUAUUGGAAUUAGCGGCGGGUUUUUUCCGCCGUCCAGAACCCCAGUGACGAUCCGUGAAACAUUGCCUGCUGGCAUAAAGUAUUUUUUUUUUCGCAAGAAAGAAAAUCUAAACUUUAUGUGGAAAAUAUCCAUGCCGUGACGUACCCAUAACCGCAUCAGGUCCCCAAGGUGAACAGCCUCUGCUUUAUAUGAAGAAU
rnacentral:rRNA from 2 species